GCCUGGGUGGCUCAGUCGGUUGAGCAUCCGACUUCGGCUGGAGUCAUGAUCUCACAGUUCGUGGGUUCGAGCCCCGCGUCGGGCU
rnacentral:tRNA from 1 species